AUAGCUGGGUCUGACCCCAAGCUCACUGAAACCAAUGGAGUCUUUCCAUUGCCUUCACAGGGCUUUGAAUCAAGCCUUUAAAU
rnacentral:pre_miRNA from 16 species